rnacentral:rRNA from 1 species
UACAGAGGUCUCAACCGUUGUUCGGAUUCAUUGGGCGUAAAGGGUGCGUAGGCGGUCGUGCAAGUCGGAUGUGAAAUCUCGGGGCUCAACCCCGAAACUGCAUUCGAUACUGCGUGGCUCGAGUAUUGGAGAGGAGACUGGAAUUUACGGUGUAGCGGUGAAAUGCGUAGAUAUUGGGAGGAACAUCGGUGGCGAAGGCGGCUACCUGGACGGGUACUGACGCUGAGGCGCGAAAGCUAGGGGAGCAAACAGG